rnacentral:tRNA from 1 species
CUGAAUAGGCGGNCCUCGAUCCCGCG